UACAGAGGGUGCGAGCGUUAAUCGGAAUUACUGGGCGUAAAGCGCACGUAGGUGGCUAUGUAAGUCGGGUGUGAAAUCCCCGGGCUCAACCUGGGAACUGCAUUCGAGACUGCAUGGCUGGAGUACGGAAGAGGAGGGCGGAAUUCCCGGUGUAGCGGUGAAAUGCGCAGAUAUCAGGAGGAACACCGGUGGCGAAGGCGGAUCUCUGGGCCUUACCUGACGCUCAGGCACGAAAGCUAGGGGAGCGAACAGG
rnacentral:rRNA from 1 species